GAGAGAAAGAAAUGGAUAUAAGACUAACAGGGAAAGGACAACCAAGGACAGACUUGUCCCUCUGGACAUUCUAUAUCAUUCCCUAAUGUCCUCACCUGCAAAAAGGAGAGAAAAUUGCCCUUUUGAGCCACCUACUUAACAGGAUUGUGUGAAAAGAGCUGUCAGUCUUGGAAAACUGUAUACAUUUGGGUAAUUAUGAUUGUUUUUAUUUCCAAAAUUUUUUUCAAUUUAUAAUACUUCUGCCUUAACAGUCCCAUGAGACAGGUAAUGUACCUGCAAAAAGGAGAGAAAACUGUCCUUUUGAGCCAACUACUUAACCAAGAUUUUGUGAGAAGAACUAGAUCAAUCUUGGAAAAUUAUAUACAUUUGAGUAAUUAUGAUUGUUAUUUCCAAUUUUUUUUCAAUUUACAAAGUACUUCCCCCUUAACAAUCCUGUGAGGCAGGUAAUGUACUAUUAUUGUUUUCAUCUUAUAGAUGAAGAAACCAUCAAUGGAAAUGAUUUGUCUAUUAUCAAUCAGCCAGAAUUCCAGAAUCCCAGUUUUCUUGCUGUUAGGAAAGAAGAAAAAACAAGAUGAAGGGACAGUAGAGAUAAAAGCAUUAAAGACUGUAUUGUCUCACCCCCUCAACUUUUGGAGAAAAAAUUAGGGAGGAGAGGUAAGAUGACUUCUUCAAGAUCAUAAAGCUUCAACCUAGUUAAGCAGACAGGAUGAGCACUUUAAAAUACCGUAAUACUAUAAGGGAGCAUAUUCUAAGAACCGAGUGCAUGGCAACAGAUGGUAAAAGUCCUACAGGGAUUCACAACUUUAGAGCUCAUUCAUACCUAGUAUCUACCUUCACAAGUCUCUGCUGAUAUUGAAACAGAUGCACUGUUGGAUAAUAGCUCAUUCCACAGAGCUACAGAAAAAAAGUUUUCCCUGGAGCCAUAGGCUGAAUAAAGCUCAGUAACAAUGAGAAAAAGAAUAUACCAGUUACUAAGCAUAAAUAUUUGACUCUUACAUUUUUUUAUUCCUUCCAGGGAUUUGAAUCUUGAUAUAAAUUUAUCUGUACCUCAGGUUCUCCGAGAGGACUAUAUGAUAUCCAAGGUAUCCUGUGGGGAAAACCUGCAAAGGAACCUAGAGGCAAGACAUCUGAUCAUCCCUGCUCUGCUUGGAGCUGGAGAUGGCUCUGUCAAAAACUACACAAAAAUCCCAGCAACUCCUAGCGCUAGGACUUCAUUAGGAAAUAUAACCCUUGGUCUACUCAACUUCAAGCCUUGACUCUGCCAUUUAUCAAUUGGUCAAGUCACUUUGGCUUUUGGUAUCUCUCCUUAUAUGCAAGAUAAUACAUGAACCAAUAGGAUAUACCUCUCAGGGUUGUUGUAAAAUUCAAAUGAUCUACCUAUCUAUCUCUCUCUGUCUGUCUUUCCAUCUAUCUAUCCAUCCAUCCAUCCAUCUACCUAGCUAUCCCUAUCCUUAUAUCUAUCUCUCGGCAAACCUUAAAACCUGGCAGCUAAAGCUCCAGCGUGGCCUCAAAAUUCUCCAAUUUAUCCAUCUAGUCUUCUUUCAUAUUUCUUCUCUUCACACUCUCAACAUUCUAGUCCAAGUAACCUGCCAGCUAUUCUCUAUAAAUGGCAUUUCAUUACCUGUUUACCCACCUUUGAACUGGUAGUGCCCAUGUCUAGAAUGUACUCCCUCUUCAUCACCUCUUAGAGUCCCUAAAUCUCUUUAAGAACAAUUCAGACUCUAGUUCCUAAAUAAAAAUUUCUUCUGGAUUUCCCCAUGUUCUUAGUAUCCUAUCUUCCCUUUCUCCCCUUCCUCUUCUCUUUUCAAUAGUUAUAACUAAACUUUGUAUUUGUAUGUGUGCAUGUUGUUCCUUGUGGCAGAAUGUAAGUCUGUAAGGUCAAAACUGUUUCAUUUUUCUUUUUGUCUCCUCAUUGCCUUCACAGUGACUAGCACAUGGUAGGUUCUCAAUAAAGAUUUAUUAUAUUGAAAAUGGUAUACAAAUGUCAAGAGAAGACAUGAUAUAGAGAGAGGUCUCCAAGAGAUCUUAGAGUCAGGAAGGUGUGAGUUCAAGUCUUUUCUUUGACUCAUAACAGAUUAGCACAGUGCCUAGCACAUAAUAGGUGCUUAAUAAAUAUUUAUUGGAUUGGA